rnacentral:rRNA from 1 species
UACGUAGGGGGCAAGCGUUGUCCGGAUUUAUUGGGCGUAAAGAGCGUGUAGGCGGCCAGAUAGGUCUGUUGUGAAAACUCGAGGCUCAACCUCGAGACGCCGAUGGAAACCAUUUGGCUAGAGUCCGGAAGAGGAGAGUGGAAUUCCUGGUGUAGCGGUGAAAUGCGCAGAUAUCAGGAGGAACACCAACAGCGAAGGCAGCACUCUGGGCCGGUACUGACGCUGAGGAGCGAAAGCAUGGGGAGCGAACAGG